rnacentral:rRNA from 1 species
GAUGAACGCUGGCGGCGUGCCUAAUACAUGCAAGUCGAGCGAACAGAUGAGGAGCUUGCUCCUCUGACGUUAGCGGCGGACGGGUGAGUAACACGUGGAUAACCUACCUAUAAGACUGGGAUAACUUCGGGAAACCGGAGCUAAUACCGGAUAAUAUAUUGAACCGCAUGGUUCAAUAGUGAAAGACGGUUUUGCUGUCACUUAUAGAUGGAUCCGCGCCGCAUUAGCUAGUUGGUAAGGUAACGGCUUACCAAGGCAACGAUGCGUAGACGACCGGAGAGGGUGAUCGGCCACACUGGAACUGAGACACGGUCCAGACUCCUACGGGAGGCAGCAGUAGGGAAUCUUCCGCAAUGGGCGAAAGCCUGACGGAGCAACGCCGCGUGAGUGAUGAAGGUCUUCGGAUCGUAAAACUCUGUUAUUAGGGAAGAACAAAUGUGUAAGUAACUAUGCACGUCUUGACGGUACCUAAUCAGAAAGCCACGGCUAACUACGUG